rnacentral:tRNA from 1 species
AUUUAUAUAGUUUAGAAAAACAUUACACUUUCACUGUAAAGACAAAGAUACACUUUUAUAAAUA